rnacentral:lncRNA from 1 species
AGGCUCAGCGAGAGUUGGGAUCUCGCGGGAUCUGGGGGCCAAUCAGGAGCUCUGGUGAAUGCCGCCCUUACGCGGUGUCAUCCACUCCGAAGUACAAGCUUGGCGGGGCUUGAGGUGCUCAGCGUUGUGUUCCCGCCCUGUGACUGACUGCUUCAAACCUGGGGUGAGGGCCCUUGCCAGGCAGUGGCCAAGGGAGGCGGAGGACAGCGCUGCUGGCCGUGUGAUGUGGAAUGAGUCCCUACCUCACACUGACCAAGAAUGAGGCUUAGCGGGCAGGUCCACAACAGGGCCUGUGUGGAAGGGAGCAGUGGCUCUGUACAGUUUGAAGUUACUCCUGAAGCAGCUGGGCAGUACUGUGUCACCCAUGUGAUAGCACCAGCACAAGAA